rnacentral:misc_RNA from 1 species
GAUGAAGAACGUAGCAAAAUGCGAUAAGUAAUGUGAAUUGCAGAAUUCAGUGAAUCAUCGAAUCUUUGAACGCACAUUGCGCCCGCUGGUAUUCCGGCGGGCAUGCCUGUUCGAGCGUCAUUUCAACCCUCAAGCCCCCCGGGUUUGGUGUUGGGGAUCGGCUCUGCCUCACGGCGGUGCCGCCCCCGAAAUACAUUGGCGGUCUCGCUGCAGCCUCCAUUGCGUAGUAGCUAACACCUCGCAACUGGAACGCGGCGCGGCCAUGCCGUAAAACCCCAACUUCUGAAUGUUGACCUCGGAUCAGGUAGGAAUACCCGCUGAAAUUAAGCAUAUCAAUAAGCGGAGGA